rnacentral:lncRNA from 1 species
CUAUUCAGUCCCUGCCGCCCACUCUGCACCAGGCCCAAGGAGGAGCUGGGGACAGAGGUGAAUAUGGCACACUCUCUGUUCCCAAGGAGCCAAGUCAGCCAGGGGAGACGGAAAAGGACAGCCUUGUGUGACCAGUGCUGGGACCCCAGCCACGCACAGGGGCUGCAGAAAUCCAUAGGAGAGCAUUUUCUCCCGACCUGGAGGAGGUGACACCCUGAUUCUCGCCUGAUUCUCUUUAACCACAGCUAAUGCUUUGAGAUGGAUUACAUCCCACUUUGCAGAAGAGGAAACAGAUGCGGAGAGGAGCAAUGGCUCCAGAUCCGCUAAUUCAGUGUUUGCAGAGACUUUACCACAAAUAAGAAUCCACUAUGUGUAAUGCGUGUCAUCUACCAUUCCUAUUACGAAGAUUCUACAAACAUUCAUCCAUCACCCGCUAUGGACCAAGCACUAGGUUGAACCAAGUGAUACACGGAUGCUGGUGCCAAAAAGGUCUUUGUGCGCAAGGUCUGGGUUUUCGCCACUCUGAGUCCCCAGGGCCAGGUUCCUGUUGCAGCCUGGAGCCGGAAAAGAAUCUGGGAGGAAGAGGUUGGGUGUUGGGGCCAGCAGACUAGGGGACGACAGAUCCUGCCCUGCCACUCAUUUGCUGUGCAACUCUCAGCAAAGCACCCAACCUCUCCGAGCCCUCGCUUCCCCAUCUGUGAAGUGGGGAUCAUAAGGCCCAUCCUGCAAGGUGGUUUCCGCGGUGAAAAUAGAAAACGAGGCCUGUUCCUACAGCCUGUGUGUCUUGGGAGGAACUGCUCAUCAUCUGUGAUCCUUUUUUACCUGAUUACGGGAAAGGGGAGUGAUCUGCUCACUGACCCCCGGCUGGGCUUUUCCCUGCCAGUGAAAUCAUUUGAAAUUGUCCAAGGAAAUCAGGAACCUGAGCCGACGCAGAGUCACCGAGCUUGGUGCCAAGCACUGGGGGAGCUCCAGUUACAGAAAACAAGUGGAAUCCACAGGCCCCGGGCUGAACGUGGAACUAAUUUGGGAGGCAAUGAGAAAGAGCGGAACAUAACGCGGAGCCCGGGAGGCAGGUCUGCCCUGAGUCAGGACGCCAUCCGGGGGGGUAUCUGGGGCCCCUUGAAAUUUUCAAGGUCCUGCUUCUGAAGUGGGGAGAGCCGGGACAUGAUGGGGACCCACUUCGGAAUCUCAGGAUGGCUGUGCAGAGACUCAGGGCACGGGCCUGGGGUCGGAGCAACUGCAAUCACAUCCUGACUUGCCCCCUCGAUGCUGUGUGACCCGGGGCCUGUCGCUUCACCUCUCUGAGCCUCAGCUGCCGCAUCUGUGAAUGUACGAUCUAGGGAUCCCUCCCUCAGAGGGCUGCUUCAUAGAAGGCUCAGUACCAUGCCAGGCACGUAAGCCACUCUCAGGAAAUCAGACAUGUCGAGACAUGACAUCGGGGGUUGGGGGCAGCAUUAGAGGAGCAAAGACCAGUAACGUCUCCCCCAUUCAUCUGUUCGUUCAGCAGAUACUUAAGAACAUGCAACCUGUGCCAGACUGAGGAACACAGGAGGGAACAAGACAGACCUAGCCCCACGCAAAAGGAAACAAAUAGUGUGUACCUAAUUGCAAUCAUCGUUUGAAGGAUAAGAACAGGGUGCUUGGAUAAAAAAAUAACUGGGGCGGGCUAGGCAUGGUGGCUCACGCCUGUAAUCCCAGGACUUUGGGAGGCCGAGGUGGGCGGAUCACCUGAGGUCAGGAGCUCGAGACCAGCCUGGCCAACAUAGAAAAACCCCAUCUCUACUAAAAGAUACAAAAAUUAGCCAGGCAUGGUGGUGGGCACCUGUAGUCCCAGCUACUGGGGAGGCCAAGGUGGGAGGAUCGCUUGAACCUGGGAGGUGGAGGUUGCAGUGAGCUGAGACCGUGCCACUGCACUCCAGCCUGGGCAACAGAGUGAGACUCCGUCUCAAAAAAAAAAAAGAAAAGAAAAAGUAAAAGUAAAGAGACAAUGCACCCAAAAUUUGGAUAGAUGGAAGGAUAGAGGGAUGGAUAUGUGAUCACUCAAAUUUAGUAAAAUGUUAGUGAGUUGAUGUUGCUGUUUCAAAAUUUUCAUAAUAAAAUGUUGGG